rnacentral:rRNA from 1 species
CGCGGUGGCGGAGCGUCGUUUGCGACGCCCAACACACAAAACAAGCGGUGAAUGCUUUGGGGUGGGGUGACUGCGUACCUUUUGUAUAAUGGGUCAGCGACUUAUAUUCUGUAGCAAGGUUAACCGAAUAGGGGAGCCGGAGGGAAACCGAGUCUUAAUUGGGCGUUAAGUUGCAGGGUAUAGACCCGAAACCCGGUGAUCUAGCCAUGGGCAGGUUGAAGGUUGGGUAACACUAACUGGAGGACCGAACCGACUAAUGUUGAAAAAUUAGCGGAUGACCUGUGGCUGGGGGUGAAAGGCCAAUCAAACCGGGAGAUAGCUGGUUCUCCCCGAAAGCUAUUUAGGUAGCGCCUCGUGAAUUCAUCUCCGGGGGUAGAGCACUGUUUCGGCUAGGGGGCCAUCCCGGCUUACCAACCCGAUGCAAACUGCGAAUACCGGAGAAUGUUAUCACGGGAGACACACGGCGGGUGCUAACGUCCGUCGUGAAGAGGGAAACAACCCAGACCGCCAGCUAAGGUCCCAAAGUCAUGGUUAAGUGGGAAACGAUGUGGGAAGGCCCAGACAGCCAGGAUGUUGGCUUAGAAGCAGCCAUCAUUUAAAGAAAGCGUAAUAGCUCACUGGUCGAGUCGGCCUGCGCGGAAGAUGUAACGGGGCUAAACCAU